GGUGGCCUAUGAUGUAAGAAUUGCCUACAUUGUCAGAUUGUCUUACCAGUGACUGAUAAAAAGUAUUCCUGAGGCCUUU